ACAAUUUUUAAAUACAAGUUUUUUUUUGUGAAUUUUUGUAUGGAAAAUAUUUCCGACGGAAAUGAAAUAAUUUAAUCAUAAAUAUACACAAAAAUUAGGCGUGUGUUGAAAUUCAAUCGAUAACUGGGCUCUGGAGAUGUCAGCAUCUGCGCAUUUCAAAUUUCAAUUAAAAAAAAUUAUUAAACAAAGAACCAUUGAAGGACAAGAUUGAGAACACGUUCUAGACAUCCUAAUCGAAUGUUGAAAAAUUUUAGUCGGAUCAGGUACGAUUGGUUAAAAUUCGUGCUAUCUUUCAAUCAUAUUGGUAUAAUCCUUCAUGUUCAGUCACGUUCGCAUUAUCGAUGGACAAGAGAGGACGUCACGU